rnacentral:snRNA from 1 species
AUACUUACCUGGCAGGGGAGAUACCAUGAUUACACAGGUGGUUUUCCCAGGGUAAGGCUCAUCCACUGCACUGUUGGUGUGCUGACCCCUGCGAUUUCCCCAAACGCAGAAACUGUGCUGCAUAAUUUGUGGUAGUAGGGGACUGCGUUCCUGCUUUCACCUG